UACGUAGGGUGCAAGCGUUAAUCGGAAUUACUGGGCGUAAAGCGUGCGCAGGCGGUUGUGCAAGACAGAUGUGAAAUCCCCGGGCUCAACCUGGGAAUUGCAUUUGUGACUGCACGGCUAGAGUGUGUCAGAGGGGGGUAGAAUUCCACGUGUAGCAGUGAAAUGCGUAGAGAUGUGGAGGAAUACCGAUGGCGAAGGCAGCCCCCUGGGAUAACACUGACGCUCAUGGCACGGAAAGCGUGGGGAGCAAACGGG
rnacentral:rRNA from 1 species